AUUAUUCAAGUCAACUGCAUAUCAGCAGUAUUUUCUCCCAUUUUCAUUACAAAGCCCUGUUUUAAAAUGUUGACUAACGUACACUCCAUAUCUAGCUGUUUUAUGUAAAUGAGCAAUCUACACAGUUCCAGAAUUUUCUAUCAGGCUAAUAACGGGCAGCCUGGGGUCCUGAAACAGCCAUUUCAACUUGUUUACUUUCUGAACAGAGGAGGCCAGUCACAAGAUGCAAAAGUUAAUAAAGCUGAUCGGCCCCAAAUAUGUCUCUAUUGCCAGAACAUGGGUUCCUACGCUGGUCGGAUGGGGUACAGUUGGUGGACUGGCUGUUGUCUAUUUCACAGACUGGCGGCUGAUUCUGGAUUAUGUUCCCUACAUUAGAGGCAAAUUCAAGAAGGAUGAUGAUGACUAGUUGUCCAACUGCGUAUCAUGGAUCUGUAGAAAACGGUUGUUGUGUAUUCCUACCGGGAGCAAACAGCUUAUGCGUUGACCCGCCAGUAGGCGGCGCUGAUGAUGCGACGUACAAACCAUAAAGACUGAAGAACAUUGUCACUUUAAGAUUUAAUUUUUAUGUGCUGAUAUGGUUGAAUAAUGUUUUACUGUGCCCGAUUGGGUUAAAUUGGAUGUUGAUGUGUACUAAAUCAGACUGCAAACAACUAUCUUGCUAAUGAGUUAAUUCUGUCUGUACAGGGCUGAUACCUGGGAAUGAAAGAUGAUUCUGUUUCAUGGCUUUGCACAUCACUUAGUUUGAGUUUGCACAUAAAAUAUGUUGUAUUUACUUAAGAUUGUUAUUUUGUCAUACUUUUGUGAAUAAAUUCUUUCUCUGUG